GACGAACCGUGCAAACGUUAUUCGGAAUCACUGGGCAUAAAGGGCGCGUAGGCGGCUCCAAAAGUCAGGGGUGAAAUCCGGCAGCUUAACUGUCGCAGUGCCUUUGAUACUGUGGAGCUAGAGGGAGGUAGGGGUCUGUGGAACUUCCGGUGGAGCGGUGAAAUGCGUUGAUAUCGGAAGGAACGCCGGUGGCGAAGGCGGUGCGCUGGGCCGGAACUGACGCUGAGGAGCGAAAGCGUGGGGAGCGAACAGG
rnacentral:rRNA from 1 species